rnacentral:lncRNA from 1 species
ACUGGCUGAUUUAAGUGAGCCAGGAUUGCAACACUUUUGGAAUGUGUUGGUCAGAGGUAUGGAGCUGGCGUUCUCGUGAGGUUUCUAGUUCUUUUUGGCUUGGGAGCAGAGGUGGGCUGCCAAGAAGUAGAGGCGUAAAGAGCUUUUCUUUUGAAGUUAAUCAAAUAAUUUGAACAUUUCUCACCUCUACCUGUUGGGAUUAAUCCAGGGGCAUAUGGUAACCUUGAAAGACCUCCAGCACCCAUAUUAGAGUUGCCUCUCUGGUUUUAAUAUGUGUGAGUUCUCUCCUGCAAUCUUUCCUCAUUCCUUGUGACAUUACCAAAUUCCUGCACAGCCCUGGAGGAUUUCUCCAGAGAUUCCUCAAAGCAGCAGCAGCCGUGGCCAUCCAAGGAGAGCUGAAGCAUCAGGGCACUGUGUGUUCCCAGGGGGACAGGAGAGCCUGAGCAGGGAGCCUGCACUGAAAUCCUGGGGCUCACAGAGACUCCCAGAUUUUCAACUGUCACAGAUGUAAAGUUUGAAAAUACAGCCUGAGUGGUAUUUGCCUGAUUGUGCAGCCUGUCUGAAACACAAAUUUCAAACCACAGGCCUCCCAUUGGACACAAGCACAUCUCAGAGCAUCCUCUGGCAGCUCCUGCACUGCACUGGUGGAAUCUCUUCUUUAGUGGCACCAGGAAGAAGCAGCAGGAAAUACAGAGUGAAGUUCUUCCACACAAGCUGCUGCCAGACCACUGUCCACUGUAUCUGGAGAAUCCCUACAUCCUCAGGUAAAAUCCCUGAUUUCCAUCUGGAAGUGGGGUGGGUAAAAGCCCCCUUUCCUCAUUUGCACCUUUGAGGCUGGUGGAUGUUCACAUGUCUCUAACUCUGCACAAGCAGGUCAG